GUAAACUUAUGCUGAAAUAAAUGUCAAGCAGAAAGAUGACAAAACCUCCAAGGCUCACAUUUAUAUGGGGCUCUGAAAAUCCUCUCGUGUAAUAACUGGGAAUACCAGAUGCUUGUAUAAACUCUUACUUAUUACUUUGCCUGUAAUUCUUGAGAGAUCAAGAAAAAGUUAUUUGAUCAAUAGGUAUAAUUAAUAAUUGAGGAAAGCGUUACCAUUUUAUUUACUCAUUUCAUUUAAUAAAGACAUUGCAUUUGACAACUACGUGUCCAAAGAUAUUAUCCCUAUGCUCAAGAAACUUACUGCUAGAGGAAAGAUAGAAAUGCAAACAAAAUAUGAAUAUUCAUAAAGUAGACAGGCAAUUCAUGGAGGUCUUGAGAGAGGAAGUUGCAUCUAAAUUGAGACUUGAAGGAUGAGUAGAAGUUUGUAUGAAAGAAUGAGGCAUCUUUAGUAGAUUGCAAAUAGCUCACUAUUUCUUGAAGGCAAGGGAUACUUGGAAAUGGUGGAGAGGAAGGGUUGAAGAAGAGUGGCAAAUGCUAAGAGAUGAGACUUUUGUCUGUUUACCGUUGCAUUUCUAACACCUACAGCAGUGCCUGGCACAAAGCAGACUCAGUAACUACUUGAAGAAUGAACAAAGUGAAUGAGUGAAUAAUAAAUAGGGGCAGGCCAUAAAGGACCUGCUAUACCAUGCAAAUUAUUUUAUCCAGUGAAGAAUACUGAAUAAGGAAUGACAUCAGAUUUGCUUUUUAGAAAAAUUACUUAAUUAGAAGUUGGGUGGAUAUAGAGAGUGAUCUCAGGCAAGGAGACCAUUGAGAAGGCUAUCUAACAAUCCAAGCAAGAGAGGUUAGAGGCCUGAUCUAAGGCAUUGACAUUGGCAUUGGGAACGGGAAACAUUGACAUUGGCAUCUGGAGAGCAGAGAAUCAAUGUAAGAAAUAUUUGGAAGAUAGAAUCUACAAGACUAGGUAGUUGUGAAGACUAGGUAGUUGAUGUAUGUAUAGAAAAAGGGAGAGACAGAGAAAUAAUUCCCAUGUUUCUUUCUGACUUGGGCACAUGAGUGAAGAGCUAUUCCAUUAACUGGAUAAAGAAUAUAGGUAGAUAAGCAAGUUGGAGGGAUGAGAUGAUGAUGAUGUUAGAUUUCAGAUAUGUUCAUUCUGAAAUGAUUGUGGGACAUUCAGAUAAAGCUGUCUGGUAGACAGUUGCAUAUACAUGGUAUAUCAAAGUCAAGAAAUCUUAACUAGCAUUUUUUCGUGCUAUUUUAGAGGAGAACAGAACAAAGCUUCAUAGUUUUAAUUUUAUUUUAAAAUAACUUUAUACUUCUAUUAUUACUCUUGCAAUUACAUCAAUCUCUAGUUUAAAUUACCUUUUUUGGGCACACUUUAAUAAUUUUUCCCUUGAAGGUAGACUUUUAAAAGGUAGCCAUCUUGGUCAAAAGCAGGUAAUUGAUCUCAACAUCUGUCCUAUUAAGAUCCAUUAGUUUCAAUAAAUGUUUGUACAGUGCCAAAUGGUUUAUGUCUUAGAAGCUAUUUUAAGUACAUUAUACCAAGUAUCAUGUUAAGCUUAUAGUAAAACAAAUUAGACUAAAAUUUUAAUGUUAAUAAAUGGCCAGACAGGGGCUUGUUCAGAAAAAGGCACUGAGUGCAUUGAGGUUUAAAUGUAAAUAAUUAUAGUUUGGAAAGUUCUGUGUGUUUAUCAGUGCAUUUCUGUCUUAGAUCCUCCAUUCAGUACAGCCCAUGAUCUGCCCUCCUGGUCUUCUAAUUAAGUAGAUAUCAGCUUUAGUAAAAUGAAUGAAAAAAAAAAAAAACCGUUUACCCCCCAGCUCUUGGUGAACGUUGGUGAACAUUAACAUAUCUCAGUGACUUGAUGUAGUUGCUGUUGAUAAAACAUGUUAUUUUCCCUAAGACUAUGUUGCAGACUCUUCUACUUGUUUUAUUUUUACUAAGCCACUUCUAUGUCAGUUUUAAAUUUUUAAUAGAAAUAUUUUAAAGUAAAAGUUUUGUUACUGAUAAUAUUUAAACAUGAUGCUUCUUCUGAGAGUCUCCCCCAAGUCUACAGUUAUGCAUAUGCUGAUAGCACCAAUAACCGAGUUCAUACAAAUGCGUAUUUGGUACCAAGGUAUUCAUUUGUUCAACAAAUUUUGUACAGGAUACUUUAAUAGACCUUGUGGGAAAUACAAAAUGAGUAGGACCAUGGGAAGACCAAAGAGCUUCUGGUCUAAGAAAAAAAUAUUAAUAUAUAUAUAUAUAAAUGUGUAUAUAUGGCACAAAAUAAAAACUGACCCACAUCAUAAAACAUAAAGAUAAAAUGUUAAGGGGAUUAGGAAAUGGGAGAUAUCACUUAUAGCUGGAAAAAUCAGAGAUGAUUUCAUUGAGGAGGAUAGGUUUUGACCGGUUUUGAUGAAAGGAAAGGAUGUAGACAGAAGUGGGAAAAGUGGUUACAGAACAGGAAAUAGCAAGAUUAACGUCUCAGAGGUGUGCUUACACAGGAUGUAAGAUGGAAGAGGAGUGAGGGCAUAGAAGAUAAAUUUGGCAAAUCCUGUUGGAGUUGGGUCACAGAGGGCCUAAGGGCCAGGCAAAUGACUUGGAUUUUAUUCAUGAAGCAGUUUUUAAACAGAAUAAAGGUCAGCGCCGUAUUCUAGCAGUAGUAGAAUGGCUGGAUGUAAAUAGGGGGAAUUAGAGACACAAUGGAAACUGGUGAGGGCCAAAAUUAGAGCAGUAAUAGCAAGAAUAGAUAGAAUAUUGAGAGAAUGGAGAACAGUGAGAAUGGUGAUAUGCUCCAUGAUAGUAGUGUUUUUGUGCAUAAUUCUCUAGAAAGUUUGUGAUUUUUGCAUUAAUACAUACACACAAAUCUAAAGGUAGUUGGCAUUUCUAAGUUGAAUUUAGGGAUUUGCUCAGUCCCAGGGUGCCUUCUCAGGCCCAUACCCUCUCCCUAUGCUUACCAUUCUUCCUUUGUUGCAGGCUCCAGGAAUUGAAUCUGCGCUCCUAUGUGUCAGUAGUUGCUCCUGACACGAUAUCUCAUGGUAUUUUUAUUUCCCUGUAAGCCUUGCUGCUCAAUGUCAAGUAGUAUCCCCAUACUCGUGUUCUUCCUAUGUUGAUAAAAAUAAAUCCAAGGGUUCUUUAUUUUUUGGGUUUUAAAAACUAUUCAUUUUUAUAGAGAGGCCUGUUGGGGUAGCAAAUAUAAUAGAUAUGGGGAAGUUGAAAGCUUAUAUAACCAACAGACUUUUCUACAAACAGGGUUCAAAUAUAGGCAUACCUAUUUUUUUCAAUUUAAUUACUCUGACACUCAUAUACUUCAGUAGCAUAAAUCCAGUGUCCUCCUUUUGAGGCAACCUAUUCUCCACCAAUUAAUUACUAAUGCUUCAGUAACUCUAGGAUUCAAUCCUCCUCUCAUGCUGAGUAUUAAAAGAAUGUGAUUCUGAUCAGUUCACUGAUAUUGUUGUUUGUUACUCCUGCAUAGAGUUGCUGGGCUGAGGCCUGGCCCUGAAUAACCUGACCCACGAUGCUUGCUCAAUAUUCUAAUGAAGGUUUUAUUGGUCCAGAGUUGUUGGCAGCUACAAUAUUUUGAGGGAGGAUGAA